rnacentral:rRNA from 1 species
UAUUGCAGAAUGGGGGAAACACUGAUGCAGCGACGCCGCGUGAGCGAAGAAGGCANUCNNGUCGUNANGCUCUGUCCUAAGGGNNNNNACGGACGGGACACUAGGAGGAAGCCCCGGCUAACUACGUGCUAGCAGCCGCGUUAAUACGUAGGGGGCGAGCGUUAUCCGGAAUUAUUGGGCGUAAAGGUUGCGUAGGCGGCCUUUUAAGUCAGAUGUGAAAGGCUACGGCUUAACCGUAGUUAGCAUUUGAAACUAAAAGGCUUGAGUGCAGGAGAGGAGAGUGGAAUUCCUAGUGUAGCGGUGAAAUGCGUAGAUAUUAGGAGGAACACCAGUGGCGAAGGCGACUCUCUGGACUGCAACUGACGCUGAGGCACGAAAGCGUGGGGAGCGAACAG